rnacentral:rRNA from 1 species
GACGAGGGGUCCAAGCGUUGUUCGGAAUCAUUGGGCGUAAAGCGCGUGUAGGUGGCUCUAUAAGUCAGAAGUGAAAGCCCCGGGCUUAACCCGGGAAGUGCUUUUGAUACUGCAGAGCUUGAAUCCGGGAGAGGGAUGCGGAAUUCCAGGUGUAGCGGUGAAAUGCGUAGAUAUCUGGAGGAACACCGGUGGCGAAGGCGGCAUCCUGGACCGGCAUUGACGCUGAGGCGCGAAAGCCAGGGGAGCAAACGGG